CCGGGGCUCUUUGACUGGGGGCGAGUCUUCGAAGUCGCCAGGCUCUGCCUAUCAACCGGGUCCUGAUUGGUGCAGGCUGUGGCGGUCCGCCCCUGACUCCGUCUAGCCCCGCUCCGCGAGAAGAGGCUGAACUGCCCCAUCUGCUUCUAAUUUCUUUCUUUCUUUCUUUCUUUCUUUUUUUCCCCUCUUUUCCUUUUCUUCUUUUAAAUAUACGUUUGGAAAUUUGCCGGGCGUGGUGGCGGGCGCCUGUAAUCCCAGCUACUCGGGAGGCUGAGGCAGGAGAAUCGCUUGAAUCCGGGAGACGGAGGUUGCAGUGAGCCGAGAACGCGCCACUACACUCCAGCCUGGACGACGAGAGUGAUACUCCGUCUCAGUCAAUCAAUCAAUCAAUCAAUCGUUUGAUUUUCGUUUUAUGCUUUUACUUCCAAAUUUAUAUUUAUUGCAAAAAAUGUGGAAUAUAACAAAGUGUAAAGGUGAAACUGAAAUAACCCGAAAUUAUAUUUCCCCCUCUGUGGUUUUUUUUUUUCCGUCUCUGUGUUUUUCAAUGUUUUUCAGGCCUUCUGUCUUGAGCUCGUAUUACUGCUGUUCACUGAUGUAUUGUAAAAGCGUAAAACCGGACGUGACCCAAAUGUCUAUCAAAGGAGACUGAUGAGAGAAAUAAACGGAUUUGUUCACACAACGGCUUCUACAGCAAAGAAACAGAAGGUAGCUCCAAGUGCUCUGAAAUGGAAAGAUGGAGUCUCCCUCUGUCGCCCAGGCUGGAGUGCAGUGGGGCUAUCUCGGCUCACCACAACCUCCACCUCCCAGGUUCAAGUGAUUCUCCUGCCUCAGCCUCUCGAGUAGCUGGGACUACAGGCACGUGCCACUACGCCCGGCUAAUUUUUUGUAUUUUUAGUAGUGACAGGGUUUCACCGUGUUAGCCAGGAUGGUCUUCAUCUCCUGACCUCGUGAUCUGCCUGCCUCGGCCUCCCAAAGUGCUGGAAUUACAGGCGUGAGCCACCACGCCUGGCCGAAACUCUUGAAAGUUUGUUUCUGUGAACAUUAUUGAUGCCUAAGAUGGGCCUGUGCUAUCCUUGUGGGGGUGUCGGUGUGUGUGAGAACAGAGCUGAGUAAUGGCCAAAAUCUGGCUGCCAGGAUCAGACAGGUGACAAGAGAGGCAAAUAUAAAUAGCUCAGAUAAGCAAAGACAUCCAAAAAUACUCUGACCCAGACACUUCCGGGCACAAAACUCUUUCUGUCUUGCAUUGUCCUGGUUGUACUUGGACAUGCGAUGGGUCAGAAUUUGGUUUACUUAAUAUAUAUUAUUCAGUCUUCUGGGUUUGAAGAAUUUACUAAGAUUUUAAAAUCUCCAAUUUAUGAUUUCCCUUGGAAAACAGGAAGUUCUGGUAACACUGAGACUGCAUUCGAGGGUCCCACAAACCAGACUUGGUUUCUCACUUCCCGUAACAGUAACGAAUGGAAGACUUGAUGAUUUACAUUACCUGCCUGGCCCCUGUAGCAACUUGAGUUCAAAACUGUUGGACAGGGUCAUGAUUCCUUAACAUGGUAUUCAAAGCUUCAUGAUUGGCUGGGUGCGGUGGCUCACAGUUGUAAUCCCACCACUUUGGGAGGCCGAGAUGGGUGGACCACUUGAGGUCCAGGUUCGAGACCAGCCUGGCCAACAUGGUGAAACCCCGUCUCUACUAAAAAUACAAAAAAAUUAGCUGGGGUGGUGGCAGAUGCCUGUAGUCCCAGCUAUUCUGGAGGCUGAGGCAGGAGAAUUGCUUGAAUCUGGGAGGCGGAGGUGGAAGUGAGCUGAGAUUGUGCCACUGCACUCCAGCCUGGGUGACAGGGUGAGACUCUGUCUCAAAAAAAAAAAAGGAAAAAAAAAAAAGCUCCUUGAUAGUCUUGUGCUUUCCCCCUUUCAUCUUUGUUUCCUUCCACUCUUGCUCACCCUUGCUCACACACACACUUCCUCAAGGUAAAAGUGUAAGGCAGGCAGAAUGAGACUUAACAACUAGCAUUUCUUAUGUCAUUAUCCAGCCUUUUCUAACUAACACAUUUGCUUGUUCACUCAUUAACUUGAGGCAUUUAUUUUUCUUGAUAAGACCAGGCCAAAGUCAGCCAAUUGGAUCAAACCAAAUGGAAUGGAGUGUCCAGAAGUAGAAAUUUUGCUGCUACAGGGUGUGUGCAACUUCACAUACAGCUCUUGCCCCUUAUUUCCUGUGUCUUUCCUGCUUGCUCACUCUGCUCCAGCUAUACUGGUCACUUUGUUGUUCUUUUAUUUCUUAUUUUAGACAGGUUCUUGCUUUGUUGCCCAGGCUGGUGUGCAGUUGUGCAAUCAUAGUUCACUGUAACCUCAAACUUCUGGGCUCAGGUGAUACUCCUGCCUCAGCCUCUGGAGUAACUGGGACUACAUCUGAAUGCCAUCAAAUCCAGCUACUUAAAAAAAUUUUUUUUUUUUAGGCCAGGCACGGUGGCUUACGCCUGUAAUCCCAGCACUUUGGGAGGCCGAGGCGGGUGGAUCACUUGAGGUCGGGAGUUCAAGAACAGCCUGACCAACAUGAAGAAACCCCAUCUUCACUAAAAAUACAAAAUUAGCUGGGCGUGUUGGUGUAAUUCCAGCUACUUGGGAGGCUGAGGCAGGAUAAUCACUUGAACCUGGAAGGUGAGGUUGCGGUGAGCCGAGAUUGUGCCAUUGCACUCCCGCUUAGGCAACAAGACUGAAACUCCUCUCAAAAAAAAAAAGAAGAAAAAUUUAAAGAUUUUGAGCUGGGCGUGGUGGCUCACACCUGUCAUCCCAACACCUUGGGAGACUGAGGCAGGUGUUUCCGUUGAGCUCAGGAUUAGGUUUUGGCUUAAGGGAAUAUUGUGGAUGAUUUGAUCUUUUAUCAAAGUUUGAGAUCACACAAACUUUCUUCCUGUCAGCAAUAAGGCUGUUUUGGUUUCUUAUCAUUCGUGUAGCAUUAAAAAUGCUACUCCAAUAAAGGCUGGAGUGCAGCGGCAUGAUGACUGAACUCCUGAGCUCAAGGGAUCCUCCCGCCUCAGUCUCCCGAAGUACUGGCAUUACAGGCGUGAGCCACUGCACCUGGCCAGCUUCAGACUUUUCUUGUGCAGCCUCCUCACCUCUCUUAGCCUUCUUAGAAUUGAAGAGAUUUAGGGCUUUUCUCCAUAUUCGGUUUUGCCUUAAGGGAAUGUUGUGGCUUGCUUGAUCAUCUAUCCAGAUAACUCAAACUUUCUCCAUAUCAGCAAUAAGGUUGUUUUGCUUUCCUAUCAUUUGUAUGUUCACUGGAGUAGCAUUUUUAAUGUCCUUCAAGAACUUUUUCUUUGUAUUCACAACUUGACUGGUGCAAGAGGCCUAGCUUUUGGCCUAUUUCUGCUUUCUUUUUUUUUUUUUUUUUUUUUUUUUUGAGACGGAGUCUCGCUCUGUUGCCCAGGCUGGAGUGCAGUGACACAAUCUUGGCUCACUGCAACCUCCACCUCCCGGGUUCAAGCGAUUCUCCUGCCUCAGCCUCCCGAGUAGCUGGGACUACAGGCGCGUGCCACCAUGCGUGGCUAAUUUUUGUAUUUUUAAUAGAGACGGGGUUUCACCAUGUUAGCCAGGAUGGUCUCGAUCUCUUGACCUCGUGAUCCGUCCGCCUCAGCCUCCCUAAGUGCUGGGAUUACAGGCGUGAGCCACCACGCCCAGCUGCGGAAGAGAUUUUAAAGCUCUCCACAUAUUUCAGUGUGCCACCUGUGCUAAGAACUACAACUUUAUUAUUUUAUUUUAUUUUACUUGUUUUUGAGUUGGAGUCUGGCUCUGUCGCCCAAGCUGGAAUGCAGUGGUGCAAUCUCGGCUCACUGCAACCUCCGCCUCCUGGGUUCAAGUGAUUCUCUUGCCUCAGUCUCCCAAGUAGCUGGACAGGUGUGCGCCACCAUGCCUGACUAAUUUUUGUAUUUUUAGUAGAGACGGGGUUUCACCACAUUGGCUAGGUUGGUCUCAAACUCCUGACCUCAGGUGAUCCGCCUGCCUCGGUCUCCCAAAGUGCUGGUAUUACACAUGUGAGGCAUUGCGCCCGGCCUGAGAACUACAACUUUAGACUUACUGUUGUGAAAAUCUCAAACUAGCCUCUAUUGCAAACAUGUGUUUGCAUCAUAUAGGCAUGCAUAGACAUGCUGACGGGGUUUAUGUUACAGCCAAAAAGCUAAUGCCAACACCAACCGCUGGCACUUCUAUAUUUACUUCCAGGAGCCCUUGCCUUUACCACCCAUACCCCGCUACCCAUGUACCUCCCACUCCCCCAGAUUGAGGAGGGAGCUAGCUAAUAGGCAACUGAAGCACUGGAUUGGAACUGCAACUCAAGGUUGUGGGAGCAAGAGUUCUGAAGUGAAGACCUUGAUCAGCACAAACCUGAUCAUGUGACCUUGUGAAAGUUACUUCACAAUUCCCUGCUUCGGUUACUAUGGUUAUAAAAUUAAACUAAUGGAAUGGAUCUAUUUGCUAAAAAUAUGAGAUUUAAUGAGCAAAUAAUUUUAAAGUGCUCCAUUAAUUCUGCGAUUGUUAAAUAACUUCACUGCAUAAAAUUCUAUAGAACUCUUUCAAAUAUAUAAAAAAAAGCACCCCAAUGAUUCUUUUUUUUUUUGGAAACAGGGUCUCACUCUGUUGCCUAGGCUGGAGUACAGUGCCAUGAUCACAGCUCACUUCAACCUCAGCCUCCCAGGUAGCUGGGACUGCAGGCCUGUACCGCCAUUAUUAUUAUUAUUAUUAUUAUUUUGUAUUUUCUGCAGAAAUGGGGUUUGGUCAUGUUACCCAGGCUGGUCUCAAGCUCCUGGGAUCAAGUGAUCCGUCCGCCUUUGCCUCCCAAAGUGCUGGGAUUACAGCGGGGAGCCACUGCGCCCAGCCCAGCCAGCCCGAUUCUGACCCAGAGGGUUUAGAAGUUGCUUAGACAGAUCUGCUCCUACGGAGUCUUGCUCUGUUGCCCAGACUGGAGUGCAGUGGUGCGAUCUUGGCUCACUGCAACCUCCGCCUCCCGGUUCAAGCGAUUCUUCUGCCUCAGCCUCCCGAGUAGCUGGGACUACAGGUGCCCGCCACCAUGCUCAGCUAAUUUUUGGAUUUUUAGUAGAGACGGGGUUUUACCAUAUUGGCCAGGCUGGUCUCGAACUCCUGACCUUGUGACCCACCCACCUCGGCCUCCCAAAUUGCUGGGAUUACAGGCAAGAGCCACCGCGCCCUGCCGAGAAUUUGCAUUUCUAACAAGUUCCCAGGUGAUGCUGACACUGCUGGCUCAUGGAACCACUGCUGUAGUAUUUUCCAAAUUAUCCUGAUUCUAAGAACCACCUAUGACCUGUGCUGUUUUUUCAGUGGUUACUGGCUCAUGUCACAUAAAUUCUUUUAGGAUUCAAACAUGUUUGUGAUAUUACUCAGUAUUUACAUCUUGCUUUUACUGCAGCAUGAUAGAAAAAUUAACCACAGGUAUAUCAUAACAAAAAGACCAUGAGUUACCAUUUUCACAAAGUUCAGAUAUAUUUAAAUUAGCCUAUUUAAUCUUUUUUUGGUUGUUGUUGAGAUGGAGUCUCACUCUGUCUCUCAGGCUGGAGUACAGUGGCACAAUCUCAGCUCACUGCAACCUCUGCCUCCCAGGUUCAAGUAAUUCUCCUGCCUCAGCCUCCCGAGUAGCGGGGAUUACAGGUGCCCAACACCACACAUGGCUAAUUUUUGUAUUUUUAGUAGAGAUGGGGUUUUGCCAUGUUAGCCAGGCUGGUCUUGAACUCCUGACCUCAGAUGAUCCGCCUGCCUCGGCCUCUCAAAGUGCUGGGAUUACAGGCAUGAGCCAUCGCACCCAGCCUAUGGUACACCUUUACUGAGGAAACAAUUCAGGAACAUCACUCUUAGUAAGGCAAUUGUUGAUUAUAAGUCAAAAAAACACCAUCAUGUACAAAUUCAGGGGAUUUUGUAUACCUUGUUUUUUUGGUUACAAAUAUGCAAAAUUAAAGAUGUUUGCUAAUACUUGUUUCCAAUUUUUAAACUUUUCAAGUGUUGCACUGUUAAUAAUGUUAAAAUAAAAGGCAUUUGACUUAGUAUGAUUGUUUCUUGAACUUCAUCUUUUCAGGUUAUUUUGUUGCUGGCCACUUGCAAGAUUUAUAGGCACUACUGAGGCCUCAGUGCUGAGAUUCAGCAACAUUAUAAUCAUUAUAAUUCAAAGUUUAGUUUUUUGUUUUUUGUUUUUUUUUUUAAAGAGAUGGGGUCAAAAUGCUGCCCAGGCAUGUCUGGAACUCCUGGGCUCAAGCAAUCGUCUUGCCUCAGACUGCCAAGUAGCUGAACUGUAGGCACAUACCACACCUGGCUGUGUUCAGUUUCAUGGGCAAGUCAAACUAUCUAGUGUUUUGUCUGUACAGACAAGGUCAAUGCGACUUCUCCAAG
rnacentral:lncRNA from 1 species